rnacentral:rRNA from 1 species
UUAAAACUUUCAACAACGGAUCUCUUGGUUCCGGCAUCGAUGAAGAACGCAGCGAAAUGCGAUAACUAAUGUGAAUUGCAGAAUUCAGUGAAUCAUCGAGUCUUUGAACGCACAUUGCGCCCCCUGGUAUUCCGGGGGGCAUGCCUGUCCGAGCGUCAU